CGAGGGAACAUCUCGGGCACCUUGUCGUUUGCGAGCGUAAUGAAUGCCGAGACGGGGGUAAGGUGCAGGAACGGGAGGGUCUGUCCCAUGUCGGUCACGUGGGUGUGGUUAGCCGUGUGGAAGCACACGGGCAGAUCCAGCCGCUCCGCCUCGGCAUAAAGGGGGUGGAAGUAGGGAUGGCUCGCAGCCCGGUCGUAUUCAACGCCCUUCUUGAAAACCGCGCAGGCGCCCUGUUCUUUGGCCCAUUCCAUGUCCGCGACGGCUUUGU
rnacentral:misc_RNA from 1 species